rnacentral:rRNA from 1 species
UACGGGGGGGGCAAGCGUUGUUCGGAAUUACUGGGCGUAAAGGGCUCGUAGGCGGCCAACUAAGUCAGACGUGAAAUCCCUCGGCUUAACCGGGGAACUGCGUCUGAUACUGGAUGGCUUGAGGUUGGGAGAGGGAUGCGGAAUUCCAGGUGUAGCGGUGAAAUGCGUAGAUAUCUGGAGGAACACCGGUGGCGAAAGCGGCGUACUGGGUCUUAUCUGACGCUGAGGCACGAAAGCUAGGGUAGCGAACGGG